CAGCGGUAGGAGUGGUGGAGGGCUCUGGCUGCGGGCGGCUCCAGCAGACAGCAAAGUGCGCGGUGGAGCGAUAGGGACGAGGCUCCGUAUUUCAGUACAAAAGGUGCCCGCGGAGCAGCUUUUAUCUGCGAGGCGAGAUGUGACACAGACGCGGAUCACCGUUGCGACAGGAGGUUGUGAUGCAGCGGCUGAGGGUGGUGUCAGGACCUUCAGAGUGAUGAAGCAUUAUUUCCAGUGAUUUUUGCCUCCGGGAUAAAAAUGAGAGCUGCUCCUAUCAGCGAGCGGGAAUCACCCUGGGGCUGGCGGAGGGAGGACGCGACUGAGCGUGAGCCACACGCAGCCCUGCCCGGACCUGUGGGCUCAGCCCCACUUCUCUUUGCACAGCACAGACCUGAUGGCCUUGGGAUGGCCAACGGAAGGCGCUGAGCUGCGCCGAGUUCUUGGGUUGGGAUUCACCCCUGCGCCCAUUGCAGCGAGAAUGACUCUGUUCCCAAUACAGCUGCACUGCACAGGUCUCCAGGAAAACCAGCUUUUCUCUCCUUUCUUUUUCCCUUAAUAUUUUUUUUUGUUUGCCCCUAAGCAACGUGCACACAAACCGCUCCGCACACAGCAACCAACCAAC
rnacentral:lncRNA from 1 species